GUAGGGAAUAUUGCACAAUGGGCGAAAGCCUGAUGCAGCAACGCCGCGUGCGCGAUGAAGGCCUUCGGGUUGUAAAGCGCUUUUCUGAGGGACGAGGAAGGACGGUACCUCAGGAAUAAGUCUCGGCUAACUACGUGCCAGCAGCCGCGGUAACACGUAGGAGGCAAGCGUUAUCCGGAUUUACUGGGCGUAAAGCGCGUGCAGGCUGUUUGGUAAGUUGGAUGUGAAAGCUCCUGGCUCAACUGGGAGAGGCCGUUCAAAACUACCAGACUAGAGGACGGUAGAGGAAGGUAGAAUUCCCGGUGUAGUGGUGAAAUGCGUAGAUAUCGGGAGGAAUACCAGUGGCGAAGGCGGCCUUCUGGGCCGUUCCUGACGCUGAGACGCGAAAGCAUGGGUAGCGAACGGGAUUAGAAACCCUUGUAGUCC
rnacentral:rRNA from 1 species